GACCAAACAAAUUAAUGAUUACAUGAAAAUGAGAAAAAAAUAUGACUAUAGUUCUCAAAUUUAUAUACAUUCUCAUCCUAUUUAUUUAUCUACUUCUUGUGGUAAAUGGAGUCAAAGUAUCUCGCAAAUGUAAAACAAACUUCGAUUGUAAAGAUUAUUGUGUCUCACCUGCACUUUCCCUGUGCAUUUGGAUGAAAUGUUAUUGUGUUAUUUAACCAGAGAGUAUAUAUAUCAUGCAACAGUUUAUAUCAUUGUUUUUGCAACUUACUUGUCUCUAAAUAUUUACACCCGUUUUACAAAAUAGUUAUCUAUAAAUAUUUACUUCUUUUCAAAACUACUAGAUGGUUAUGAUGAUGUAAAACGAUUAUGAUUUUUUUAUUAUGAUUAUGAUUAUGUAAAGUAAGCAUCUAUCAUUUAUUUUAUACUAUUACGAUUAAGUGAUUUAACUUGGUUGAAAAACAACUUUACUUAAGUUUAGUCGACGAGGUAUCAUGGUGUUAUUGAAAGCGCGCCACUUUUUUUCCAGGGAUAUAGAGCUAGAAAUUUUGAGUAGUCGGAUAAAUAAAUAUAAGAGAAAUGCUAACAACACUCUCUUUUGAACACUCUCUCAAAUACUUACUUUCUUAUUGGUUGAAACAUGUGUGGGUCCUACUGCUUUAUGUGGGACCUAUUUUCAAAAUGAGGGACUCACACAUGUUUCAACCAAUAAGAAAGUGAGUGCUUGAGAGAGUGUUCAAAAGAGAGUGUUGCUAGCACUCCUCUAAAUAUAAUAUUUCAUUUUCAAGAUAUAAAUUUAUAUCAUAAUUGUUCUCUACGAUUUUUUAUGUUUUGAAAAUUUUGAAUGAUUUUCUCAUUUUCAACAUCAACACAGAUAUCUUUUUCAAUGUAAGUAACUGAGCAAUCAUUUAACCAUUCAUUACCCAUGCAAUUUCACAUCUGAUUCUUGAUAAUAUUCAUAGCAGAGAAAGCUCUUUCAGCUAUUGCAACUGCCAUUAGAAAUAUCAAAGAUAACUUUAAAAGAAAAUAUACCAACAGAUACACAACAUAUUUUUUGGUCUAUACGGGCUUGAUAGAAAGAUCAUUAAUCCCCUAUAAUUUUGAAAAUUCAAUGUUAGAGCAUUAAUCUAAGAAAUGGUUUUCCAACUGACAAUCUAGUGCCAAUAACUCAACUUGGGAAAACAUGAAAGUAUAAAAUUGAGCUAAAUGAAUUAACCUCUCCUUAUCAAACACAGAAAAUGAACUUCUCGAACUUAAACAUGCUACACAAAGGAACAACUCAGUAUUCACUUCAGUAAAAUGAUUAUUCAACUCUUGAAGUUGUCGAUCAAUCACUUCAUAAAACAAUUGAACUUGAAAAUUAUGUAAAUUAGAUACUUUCUCCAUUUUUCGCUUUGACUUUUUUUAUGAUGUUUGAAAAGUGUCAUCCAUAUUUGAAAUGUCAAUAUCAUUAUCCUCACAAAAUGAAACAUCAUUCAACAAAGAAUCCCAGCCAUUAUCUCUUAUAUCUUGAAGCCUUAUUUUGGAUACUUUUACUAACUUCAUAGCAUUUACAUUAUCUUGACCGCUUCUUUGUAAUGCUUGAGAUAAAUCAUGUGUAAUUCCUAUAAAAAAUUUCAUCAAGUGAAAGAUGAAAAUAAAUUCAAAAGAUUGCAUAUAAUUCAUUAGAAUUAGUGCUUCACCUUUUUUUAUCCAAAUCCAUAUCAUCUUCCUCAACCAUUUCUAACACACCAAUCAUACAAGAGAAUAGAGAAACUAUACUAAGUAAUGUACCUUAAUGUGAGCUUCAUCUUGUUUCCCCUGUGUCAUACCCUAAUUUUUGACCCCCCCUGAGAUGUCACAUCAUUUAAACAUCUCAACUAUUCUAUCAACUCAAAGCAGACACCCAGGGCAGUCACUUGUUCACCAAGUACUCAAAUCAGGGUUUCAAGUCAGGAGGUUCCAGCAAAAUAACAAUCCAAAAUGGAAGUGAUCCUCAACACAAGCAUAUGGCUCAAGAUGUUUCAUUCAUCCACCUAUGAUCUUCAAUAUCAAGGCAUCAAGCCUAAAGUCUAUCAAAGUCACCAAAUUAGGGUUUUAGGCCCAUCAGGGACUGAAGUCAGGACUUUCAUUUGGGAAGACUCACAAAGCUUCAAAAGAUGAUUCAAAAAGCUCAAACAUAUUCAAAUUAUUCCUACAUUCAUAUCCAAUGGAAGAUGUACUUCAAUUCAAGUUCAACAACUCCUAAUUUCAUCUGGUCCACAAUUAGGGUUUUUUGACCUAAUUCACAUGGAGAGUUGACCUUUUACCAGGACAAGAUCCCAUGGCUCAAAUCAUAG